CACAUUUAUUCUCUCUCUCUCUCUCUUUCUUCUCCUUCUCUCUCCUUUCUCUCUAGCGACAACCAGCACCACCAGCGACCACCACCAGCCACUGCCCCUCCGAUGAUGUUAGUUACACGAGCACCAAUCGAUUGAUUCCGAGCUUGGCAUUUGAUUCUAAUUCCGAGCCUUGGAUUAAUUCGGUGAGAGCCUUUGAUUAAUUUGUUUUAUUUCAACUUUACUCAAGCAGCAAGGAUUCAUAGAGAGACAGGAGCUUAUGAACAAAAGGCGACCUCUGCUUUCUGAAGCAACACUGUUUAUUGUUGUUGAUCUAAUCGUGGGAGUGUAUGAGGGCUAGGAUUUGGGGCAUUACCAUCUAAGGUAGACGCACAAGUACACCAAAAUGAGCACAUGAGAAAACUUGAAAGCAAGGUGCUGGACUUAGAACAACAACUCGAUGAGAUAAGAGCCAUGCUUAUCAAAGAAAGAAGGUAAAAUGAUGGUACCAAUCCCUCCCAAAGAAGCUCCAAUCUACUCCUCAUGACAACCUUCCAACUUCAGUGAAUGAAGUUGGUUAUGUUACUGAAAACAUUGAAGCUAUGAAAUUAUCUAAAUGUGGUGGUUCUUCAAUUGCAAACCUUCCAACUGGUUUAGAUAUGGAUCAAAGUAAUGGUGUGUCGAGCUUAGCAAAUGUCAAAUGUAAGUUGUUGCAUUGGAAGGGGUCAAACUUGGUGGUUGCAGAAGGCCAAAUUGCAUCAAGGGAUCCCAAGCCAAAGGUGCAUCAUGCAAUUCUUGGACCUUUGUGUUGGAAAGUAUGGGUGAACCACGUAACAAUCAACGUGCCGUUGUUUCGUUCUACUCAUGAGAUGUAUGAUCUUCAAGAUGCAAUAGGAAGUACAGUUGCAUGGCCUAGUCAAUUCAUUUUUUUGGACGAAAUAUUGGACUAAUUGAUUUACAAUUUGUAGUUAUACUUUUUGGAUGUUUAAAGUCGUAUUUUAGAGAUUAGUGAAUCUUAUGAUUUGGAUACUUUUUUUGAUUUGUAUGUUUGAGGUUGUUAUCAGUUUGAUAUGAUAGAAGUUAAGGAUAAAAGUUAGUAUGCAGGUUGUUUGGUGUAUGGAUAUUAGAUUUUUUUGCUUA